rnacentral:rRNA from 1 species
UACGUAGGUGGCGAGCGUUGUCCGGAUUUACUGGGCGUAAAGGGAGCGUAGGCGGAUUUUUAAGUGAGAUGUGAAAUACUCGGGCUCAACUUGAGUGCUGCAUUUCAAACUGGAAGUCUAGAGUGCAGGAGAGGAGAAUGGAAUUCCUAGUGUAGCGGUGAAAUGCGUAGAGAUUAGGAAGAACACCAGUGGCGAAGGCGAUUCUCUGGACUGUAACUGACGCUGAGGCUCGAAAGCGUGGGGAGCAAACGGG